AAAAUCCCCAAAUUCAAAAAUUCCCAAAAUACGAUGCUCUCUCUCUCAUGACUGCAAGCAACGACAUUGGUAGCAGCAGCAAGAGGGGACGAUGGCGAGUAGCGAGCGACGAUGGUGAGCAGCGAGUGAUGACGGCUAGCAGCGGCUGCGGCGGUGAAAAAGCGAGUCCCUGAAUCGCUCAACAUCUCUUUUUGGUUCACUACUGCUCCUCCUCCAUCGGCUCACGACUCUUGCCUCGACCACGACCACGACUACGACAACACCAAAUAUCUACAUCCACUGUCACCACUACUUUUUCUUCUUCCUCCGAAUCUGCCGCCUCAUCCGCCUCCGUAGAGUCUCUGGUUCGGCCCUUCGUUUGCUGUCAGAUUAGAGCCUCUAAAGCCGAAAUCAUAGAUCCAUUGAGCUAAGUGAUAGACAAUUACAAGAAUGCCCCUCAAUAUCUUUACGACUUAAGUCCUUCACAAAUGGACAUGUUCAAGACUGAAGAUAAUUCCAUCCACCGACAAUCUGAAAGUGUCACAAAGGAUUGUGUUAGCAGUAACUGAGCUUCUUGUUGCUUAGUUCAUGUGGUUGGAUUAUGAUAACCCAUCAAAGCCUAUAUAUCUAUAUAUAAAUUCUUCUGGGACUCAGAUACUUCCCGAGUAGGAGUUUGCUUCUUAUGGAAUGCAUGCUUGUGAAAAAUGCAACUAACUUUUGUUUUGUUACCUACGGAGAAUAAUGAGGAAAACUUUUGUUUUUGGUUUAUGUUAUUUUGAAUUGUAAACAACAUUAUGUAUUUAAACAUUAUAUAUGUAUUAUGGAACAUUAUGUAGUGGAAUAAUUUUGUUGAUGUAUGGUUAUGAAUGCAAGAACAUUUUUAUUAUGGAGAAAUUGUUAUUUCUAUA